UUGAUUCUGUUUACCUCUUCUUUAACCUAAGUAAAUCACAUUACUGUCCUCAACCCCCCAAAACGUACUUUUACUCCUUUUUUCUCUCUGUCCGAACAGAAGGUUGAUCUCAUUCGACGUCGUAUCCAAACAAAGAUAAUGGAUGAUCAAGAUUUGGGAUUCUUUGCCAACUUCAUUGGCAUCUUAAUUUUCGUCUUUGUUAUUGCUUAUCAUUAUGUAGCGGCUGAUCCUAAGUACUCAAGCAACUAACUGAUGCCAAGCAUACAGUUUUUUCCUGGUCUCGUCGAGUCGAGCUUUUACUUGCCUCUCCCAAUUUGUGAAUCUCACAGCACUUAGUCUAAUGAAAAUAUGAAGAAAUUGUGGUGAUAGUUGAGUCUGUACCUAGAGUGUUAAAACUUGAAGAUGCAAAAUUAUGUUUAGCAGUAAGUUUUUACUUUGGUCCCCUGAGAUCUAGAGGAAAUGUGUUUAAACAGUUGAAGGGCUAAAGAAAAAGAGCAAGAUUAACUUUGUUAAGGAACAGCUCUUCAAUCCGAAUAGCAAUAUUUCUAGUAAUUGUUUUGUUUGAUUGCCUACAUUUUUUGUUUUGUAUUGUUUAGGUCUUAAAAGAAGGGAUACUCGUUAGAGAA